rnacentral:rRNA from 2 species
UACGUAGGGCGCAAGCGUUGUCCGGAAUUAUUGGGCGUAAAGAGCUCGUAGGCGGUUUGUCGCGUCUGGUGUGAAAACUCGAGGCUCAACCUCGAGCUUGCAUCGGGUACGGGCAGACUAGAGUGCGGUAGGGGAGACUGGAAUUCCUGGUGUAGCGGUGGAAUGCGCAGAUAUCAGGAGGAACACCGAUGGCGAAGGCAGGUCUCUGGGCCGCAACUGACGCUGAGGAGCGAAAGCAUGGGGAGCGAACAGG